CGGAGAGUGCGAACGUUGUUCGGAUUCACUGGGCGUAAAGGGCACGUAGGCGGCUCGGCAAAUCGGUCGUGGAAUCCCGACGCUUACCGUCGGAACGGCGGCCGAAAAUACCGGGCUCGAGGGCGUGAGGGGGUCACUGGAACUCCUGGUGAAGCGGUGAAAUGCGUAGAUAUCAGGAGGAACGCCGGAGGCGAAAGCGAGUGACUGGCGCGUUCCUGACGCUGAGGUGCGAAAGCUAGGGGAGCAAACAGGAUUAGAUACCCUGGUAGUCCUAGCCGUAAACGAUGGACACUGAGUGGGGGAGGGCUUGCCCUUCCCUGCUGCAGCUAACGCGUUAAGUGUCCCGCCUGGGGAGUACGGCCGCAAGGUUA
rnacentral:rRNA from 1 species